GCAAGUCGAGCGUGAAAGCCCUUCGGGGUGAGUAGAGCGGCGGACGGGUGAGUAACGCGUAGGAAUCUACCUAGUAGUGGGGGACAACAUGUGGAAACGCAUGCUAAUACCGCAUACGCCCUACGGGGGAAAGCGGGGGAUCUUCGGACCUCGUGCUAUUAGAUGAGCCUGCGUUAGAUUAGCUAGUUGGUGGGGUAAAGGCUCACCAAGGCGACGAUCUAUAGCUGGUCUGAGAGGAUGAUC
rnacentral:rRNA from 1 species